rnacentral:rRNA from 1 species
UACGUAGGUGGCAAGCGUUGUCCGGAUUUACUGGGUGUAAAGGGUGUGUAGGCGGGUCUGCAAGUCAGAUGUGAAAUGCCAAGGCUUAACCUUGGAGCUGCAUUUGAAACUGUGGAUCUUGAGUGAUGGAGAGGCAGGCGGAAUUCCUAGUGUAGCGGUGAAAUGCGUAGAUAUCGAGAGGAACACCAGUGGCGAAGGCGAGUCUCUGGACGACUCCUGACACUGAGGCACGAAAGCUAGGGGAGCAAACAGG